GUAAAACUUAUUGAGGCGAAUCGAUAAUCUAUAGAUCUUAUAAAAGUAUGAGAAAAAGGCGGAAGUUUGUUUGCUUUCUAUAAAUGUCUAAAAUGUUUUUGAAAAUUGAUAGACAGCUUUUAAAAUUUCUCAUACUAAAAUUAAAUAGACUUGGAUACAAAUCCAAGCAAUAGUCUGCAGACCAAGUCAUUUUGUUUUAUGUCACGAAUAUCGAUCAUAAGAAAGUCAAUAAAUUAAACGCAACUUUUUUUAAAAAUUUGAAGUCUAAAACUUAUUUCGUUUUAAUUUUUUCAGAAAACAUUUGUUAGCGUUCUCGGUGCGUAGCAAAAUACUCAAGUAACACAUCCUUCAUUUUUUUUUAAUUAACAUUUUAAAAAAAUUCCUUAUUCCAAAAAAGUAAAAAAAAAAUGUCACCUUAGACUCGUUGAGAAUUAGCAGAUUUUAGGAUAGUGCCGAAGGGUUUUGUUAUUCAAGAUAAGUAACAAAGCAUUAGCAUGAGCUUUUCCAACUUUUAAAUUUUGCUUAUUCUCCUAACAUUAAAAUUGCGCGCGGACAUACAAAAGUUUUACAUAAUAAGUAAGUUUUCAUUUCAUUAAAGUUUAUUUUUCAAAUAAUAAGUGACUUUUUUCAAAUAAUUUUGUUAGUGUAAAUAAUUAUAAUAAAAAACAACACGUGUAUGCUAUGUAUGAUAGGCAUUUUUAUUUUGCUGGGCAAAAAAAGUAUUAUUUAAUAGUUAGUAUUAUUUGCUGUUACGAAACAAACUACUGUACUGUAAGCUAUAUUUUAUACGAUAAAUUUAUAAACUGUACUGUUAGCUAUAUUUUCAGACAAUGGCUUCAGGAAAAAAAUGUUACAAUACAAUACUAGAGCCAGGUAUAGAUUUGAGACAGGCUGCAAGAAAGCGUAGACUGUUUUAUUUGUGAGGCUUUCCACUGCAAAGCUUUGCUCCAAAUCGACUUCCAACGACUGGAGAAUUGCUCAGAAGCUUUUACUGGCUCGACAUUAAAAAAGAAACUAGGUAACGUCUGAAAAGUUUCUGAAUUUUAACAGUUUAAUUUUUCUUAACCAUUUGACAUUUUUUUAACACUACCAAGAUAAACUGUAAAGUUGGAUGUGCCCUUGCUUAUGGAAAAAGUUAUUUGAAAUGCAGCAAAUUAGCUGAAGGAAUGUGUGAAGAGAAUUGGCGACAGACAAUCAGAGGUGUUUGCAUUUUGAGAGAACUAGUAAACUUGUGGGGCAAAGCUGGAUUUGACAACAAUUUUAUACUCACAGAGCAGCAAAUCCGAAACAAUAAUACCUUCAAGAUCAACGAGUACCAAUCCCUAAAAAGACUCAAGAUUCUAAGUCUACUAGAAGAAAGUUACUGCAGGAAAGUAAACAACUUUCUAAAUAAAAGCACCUUUUUAUAUUAAUAAUGGAAGAAAAAAUGCGCUCACAAGAUGAAAAGCUCAGAAAUCAAAAAAAAAAAGAAUAAAAGAAAAGUAGAAAAACUAAAAAAAAGAGAGUUUGAAGUUUCCUGGCACACAGACAAUGAUAGCCUUCCAGACUCUGACAAAGCUUUUAUGUCUCCUACAAAGACCCAAAAGAGUCUUCAGUUUAGUAUAAAUGAACUCGUAAACAUUUUGGUGUUCAACCAGGAACCUGUUUAUUGACAUUUCUUAAUGAAGCUGGCGGUAUUAACAUUGAGGAGCUGAAAAUCUCAAGAUCAACUCUGACUAAGAAAGCACACACUGUAGUAGAGUCAGAAACCCAGAUCAUCCGAGAACAGAACAUGGACAAAGUAAGAGAUUUAAAGCUAGUGAUUCACUUUGAUACUAAAAUUGUAAGACAGUACACCAGUGAAGAAGCAAUUUCCACAAGCCACGAAAGGAUAGCUAAGGCGUUUCUUCUGAAGCUGACCCUUUAAACUUUCUGCUUGGUAUUUUGAAAAUAAAAAGCUCCAAGGAAAGCAACCAAGCUGUAGCCAUGCAAUGUAUCUUCGAAUAUUAUGAGCUAUCUGAUCAAAUUAUCGGGGUGUGUGCUGACACCACAAUUAGCAAUACAGGAAAGAACAAUGGAGCAAUAAGAAAUGUUAUUGUUCAUACUUUGGGAAGGUCUUUUUUAUGGCUAAUGUGCAAACCACAUAUAUGAGAGACAUGUGUCUCAUAUCAUGGAACUUGUUUUUGGUGCAACAUAAAGUCCCAACAAACACCUCAAUGUUUUACUUUAGAAGCUAUGGCCGCAAAUACAUAGAGAAGUUAAUAUACUUGAAAGAAUUGUCAAAUUUGAAUGGUCUCAGGAUGCAUUUAAACCAGAUACUCUUUUGCACAAACUUGCAGUUGAAACUAAAAAAUUUUGCACCACAGCACUUCAGAGAAACACUUUCCAAAGAGGAGACUACAAGUAUCCAGCUACUGGCUUACUUCCUGGGUGCAGAUAUACCUAACUUCUUCUUUAAGCAGCCGGAGCGCACUAUGAGGCCAGGUUUAUUAGUGAAUGUCUUUACCUUCUUGAUCUAGAUGCUGACGUUAAGAACAACAUCCUUAACAGAUUUCUGUAUUUUGCCGUUUCAAAAAAAGAAUUUAUGGUGCUUGAGAAACCUGGAAUUCAGCCAGUCGUUGUUCUAAUGUCAUCUCUUAAUGAUUUUGUCACUGAGCAAAGUUAUCUUCUCUUUUUUCUCCUAGAAAUUACUAAAGAAGAGCUUUUGCUGUGAAUGGAGAAAAAUAUAGCUGCUUGCGAUAUUGAGAGAGCCCUAUGUCAUUUGUCAAAUUCUCUGUUUGUGCAAAUCAGCUUGCCGUGGUAAAUGAUAGGGCAGAACGUCACAUAAAGCUGAUCUAAGAUUUUAUUGGAAGGACGCAUAACGAGGAUAGACUUCAGGAUACUCUUCAGGUUGUCCAUAAAAACAGGCAGCAAGUAUCCAAGAAAGUUACAAAGAAGUACCUGCAGAACAUCUAACAAGUAUUACAACUGUUAUCACGUUUUUGUUGCUUUUUAACUCUAUUUAGAACAAUUAUCUGAAAUUAAAUUUUCACACGAGAUUUGUAUCUUCCUUAUUCUUUGAGAUAUAUUUUAAAUCGAAA
rnacentral:lncRNA from 1 species